GUUACCCGGNGGGACUAAGCAUAUCAAUAAGCGGAGGAAAAGAAACCAACCGGGAUUGCCUCAGUAACGGCGAGUGAAGCGGCAAGAGCUCAAAUUUGAAAUCUGGCCCCUCCGGGGUCCGAGUUGUAAUUUGCAGAGGAUGCUUCGGGUGCGGCCCCUGUCUAAGUGCCCUGGAACGGGCCGUCAGAGAGGGUGAGAAUCCCGUCUUGGGCAGGGUGCCCGUGCCCGUGUGAAGCUCCUUCGACGAGUCGAGUUGUUUGGGAAUGCAGCUCAAAAUGGGUGGUAAAUUUCAUCUAAAGCUAAAUACCGGCCGGAGACCGAUAGCGCACAAGUAGAGUGAUCGAAAGAUGAAAAGCACUUUGAAAAGAGAGUUAAACAGCACGUGAAAUUGUUGAAAGGGAAGCGCUUGCAACCAGACUCGGCCUCGGGGUUCAGCCAGCAUUCGUGCUGGUGUACUUCCCCGGGGCCGGGCCAGCGUCGGUUUGGGCGGCCGGUCAAAGGCCCCAGGAAUGUAUCGUCCUCCGGGACGUCUUAUAGCCUGGGGUGCAAUGCGGCCAGCCUGGACCGAGGAACGCGCUUCGGCACGGACGCUGGCGUAAUGGUCGCAAACGACCCGUCUGACCCCCGGACCUAGGAGUU
rnacentral:rRNA from 1 species